UUCGAGUAAAAUAAUUGAUAUUCCUGGUUUUGUUGGUGUAAAACUAUCUUAUUAUUUUACCCUUAAAAUAUAUACAAUUCUCUGCAACCCUUUUCCUAUUUCACUCGCCAUAUUACUGUAUCCAACACAUUAUUUUUCUUUUGGAAAAAUUAAAUUGGAACCCAAAAAAAGAGAAAAUUCCAAUUCACAAAAUUGAGAACAACAAAUCCCAAAUUCCCAAACCCCUCCUGGCCAUCAGCUCGCUGCAGUUUAUCAGCAGGGUCAGCUGAAAUCCGCAGUGAACCUCCGGCGACAACCAGCAGCCAUAAACAACAAGCCUCAGCACCCGCCCACCUUCCCAUGAACCAGUCUGAUCGCUAGGGGGCACUGCUGAGGCCAACUCUGUGCCCUAAAUAACACAAACCAAUAAUAUGUCUGUCUUUGACCCACAAAAAUAUAGAAAUAUGUGUUUAUAUAAAUGAUGCAGCUCACUUUUUCUGCAAUGCCACUGACACGCGACAGCUUCAGUCAACAAAGGCAGCGCACAGAGGAGCUACGUCAGCCAGCACUGAUUGUAAUUCGUCACUGCCUGGUCACAAGGGCCUAUGAGUGAUGAGAAAGUUCACGAUCAGAGUGCAGUUUACUACAACAGAUUAGCACAGCUCUUGUGAAAUGUUUCCUCCACGAUGCCAGCCGCUGCGCACGCAGGUGCUCCAAACAGUGAGGAACCAUGACAACCGCUCCCAGCAUCAGCAAAUCUAUUUCCAAGGCUACAGAUCAUCUUACCAAACCAGAGACGAGCGCAGGGAGGACGACGCCGCGCUCAGGAGCUUUACGUGCACUUGGCCUCCUGUUCCUCCACAUUUCUGCGCCCCGACGCACCUUUGGGUUUAUCUGGACGCCAAGUUUGACGCAAACGCUUGGAACAAAAACGGAGGCCCCCCGCUAACGCUUUGCCAUUAGUUAGUCUGAUUAUUAAGUCAACACACCGGAUGUUUGCUUGUCUCAUCUGAAAGAGAUAUUAUUCAUCCCGAGAUUCAUUAAAGAAAUGCUUGACUUUCUCCCCAAAGAGAGGAUGUUUCUUAUUAAAAGGAUGAAUCAAAUAUGACUUGGGCGGUGAAAAGUGGGCAUGCUGCGAGAGGGACUCACAGCUUCCCCCAAAAUGUUAAAUUAAUACAACUUAGUUUUUAAGUUUCUAAAUGAAUUUACCUCAUGAGGCUUUUGCAGACGCGUGCGCAUUCGUCUGGGCUGAGAGGUGCGCAAAGGGCACGUGCGUUAAUGAAAGCGCCUCUGCAUGUUUUGCCAUUUUAUAAUUAAACUGUUUUAAUUGCGCUACUUCUUUUUUUAUUCUUAAAGUGCGCAUGUGCGCUUUGCGGGAUUUUCAUGUGAAUAUUCAGACCUUGUAUGUGUGUGUGAUCAAUAAAGAGCAAAAGAUGAUUAACGUGAGCCUUCUUGUUUAUUUGUGAUUUUUACAUCAACAACGGCGGAGGGGAGGGAGGGGGGUAAGGGGGGGGGUCACACAGUUCCGUCUUUCACAGGAGAAACAACAGGAAAACGAGCAUAUUGUUAACAUCAAUAUAGAACAAGACUUACAUAAAGAUUAUAUUCAGUGCAAAAACAACUACGCUAUAUCACCAACACAUUAAAGUAAAAUGACCUCACUUUAAAGACGUUGUAAUUGUAGCAAGUACGCAAUAAAUGUGCGUCAUAGGCAGUUUUAGUUGUUGGGGAAAUAUAGCUUGCAAUCAUGUCGGAGCGAUGCCGCACUUGUGCAGAAGGUAAACUCCGCAAAGGCAAAGCUCUGAGUUUUUAGGUAGUGCCGUGGUAAAAUCUCUCAAUUGUUCGCUUCAGCUACUUGUUCCUCCCAAGACUCCCCCAAAAAUUGUCUUCAACAAGUGUUGUAUACUGGGUAAAAGCUACACACACAUAACUUAAUCAUAAAAGAUUGAUAUAGAACACUAAAAAAAA